rnacentral:rRNA from 1 species
GACGGUGGUGUUUGGCACCUCGAUGUCGGCUCAUCUCAUCCUGGGGCUGUAGCCGGUCCCAAGGGUAUGGCUGUUCGCCAUUUAAAGAGGUACGUGAGCUGGGUUUAGAACGUCGUGAGACAGUUCGGUCCCUAUCUGCCGUGGGCGUUGGAGACUUGAGGGGAGCUGCUCCUAGUACGAGAGGACCGGAGUGGACGUACCUCUGGUGUUCCGGUUGUCACGCCAGUGGCACUGCCGGGUAGCUAUGUACGGACGGGAUAACCGCUGAAAGCAUCUAAGCGGGAAGCCCCCCCCAAGAUGAGGUCUCCCUGGACCUUCGGGUCCCUGAAGGGCCCUCGUAGACUACGAGGUUGAUAGGCCGGGUGUGGAAGCACAGUAAUGUGUGAAGCUAACCGGUACUAAUUGCCCGUGAGGCUUGACCAU